UCAUCUUGGAACAGGGCUUGGAUCUGUUGCAGGUCACCAGAGAACAGGGUAUUGUGGACCACUGGGUCUCGGCAGGAGCGGCGCGGCCUACUACUGUGGCCACGUGAGGGUGAAGACAGUUGUGAGAACGCCUCUCCCCACCCUCCGAGAAGGACAUGGUUUCUAGAAACUGCCAUCACUUUGAAGACCCUCCCCUUCUGCACUUCCUUCCAUGACUCCCCCCAACAGUGAAGCUAUUCUGGGACUGGACAGUGCUGGAACCCUGCUUCUCUCCUUCACCCCUCAAUGGCCUGGAGGCUCUGGCUUCUUCCAGAGCGGGGGAUGGCAAACUUUUGAGACGGAAGAGCCAAUCCUGUCCCUCACAACAAUUCAAAAAUUAUUCG